GGAGGCAAAGAUAUGCCUCGAUUCAAUUAGCUGCAUUUUUGCCUAUAAAAUUUACCAAACAUGGCUUCAGUAAUUGCCACCAAAUCUUGCCUCUAUUCAAUUAGCCAGGUACGUCCCUUUCUCAAUGAGCUUUCAUUUCAGUUCAAUGAUGUUUAUGUUCUGUAUUUCAAUACCAAAUAAUACUGGUUUUCUUUUCUUUUCUGUGUAUGGAUAUGUGAUCAAUGGAUGUUUGACGCUGCAAGUUAAUAAUUUCGUCAGGCUUUCAGUAGGGAGCUUUAGCACCUGCAAGACCAUAUAUGCUUUUAUUAAAUUCGAUACAUUCAUACAGAGAACCAAGAAAUUGUACCAGGACACUUGUACUCAGCGGACUAUUUCAAAGUUGAAUAAUGAACUCUAUGAAGUCCACCAAAUAAUGACUUGCAAUGUUCAGGAAGUUCUUGGCGUCGGUGAAAAGUUGGACUAGGUCAGCCAAAUGUCUAAUCGUUUAACAUCAAAGUCUCGUGCAUAUGCAGAUAAGGCAAGAGACUUGAAUCAACAGGCUCUGAUCCGUAAGUGGGCUCCUGUUGCCAUGCUAUGCAGGUGCUAAAGCUCUCUACAAAAUAUCUAAAAGAGGACUUUCAUUUCUAGUGACGAGUUCCAAGUGCAAGGGAAGAAGAGAUUCCAAGAUUUAGGGAAGUGAUCAAGAGGAUGCCAAAAACAAAAUUGAGGAGGAUCCCUAAACUCUUUUGAAUUAGUAUAUAGUAUUGAUAUAACUACUUUGAAUUAUUACUUAUUGUAAGGGAAUACUUUGAGUUAUUACUUUUAAUUUUAGUAUAUAUUUCUUUUGUCUA